GAUGAACGCUGGCGGCGUGCCUAAUACAUGCAAGUCGAGCGAACGGACGAGAAGCUUGCUUCUCUGAUGUUAGCGGCGGACGGGUGAGUAACACGUGGAUAACCUACCUAUAAGACUGGGAUAACUUCGGGAAACCGGAGCUAAUACCGGAUAAUAUUUUGAACCGCAUGGUUCAAAAGUGAAAGACAGUCUUGCUGUCACUUAUAGAUGGAUCCGCGCUGCAUUAGCUAGUUGGUAAGGUAACGGCUUACCAAGGCAACGAUGCAUAGCCGACGUGAGAGGGUGGUCGGCCACCCUGGAACUGAGCCACGGUCCAGACUCCUACGGGAGGCAGCAGUAGGGAAUCUUCCGCAAUGGGCGAAAGCAUGACGGAGCAAGGCCACGUGAGAGAUGGAGGUCUUCGGAUCGUAAAACUCUGUUAUUAGGGAAGAACAUAUGUGUAAGUAACUGUGCACAUCUUGACGGUACCUAAUCAGAAAGCCACGGCUAACUACGUG
rnacentral:rRNA from 1 species